UGGGAAUAUUGCACAAUGGGCGCAAGCCUGAUGCAGCAAUGCCGCGUGAGUGAAGACGGCCUUAGGGUUGUAAAACUCUUUCGCUAGGGAAGAUAAUGACGGUACCUAGUAAAGAAGUCCCGGCUAACUCCGUGCCAGCAGCCGCGGUAAUACGGAGGGGACUAGCGUUGUUCGGAAUUACUGGGCGUAAAGAGUUCGUAGGCGGACUAGCAAGUUAGAGGUGAAAUCCCAGGGCUCAACCUUGGAACUGCCUUUAAAACUGCUAGUCUAGAGACCGGAAGAGGUUAGGGGAAUACCUAGUGUAGAGGUGAAAUUCGUAGAUAUUAGGUGGAACACCAGUGGCGAAGGCGCCUAACUGGUCCGGUACUGACGCUGAGGAACGAAAGCGUGGGGAGC
rnacentral:rRNA from 1 species